rnacentral:rRNA from 1 species
CGGAUGAAAGCAGGGGACCGCAAGGCCUUGCGCGAACGGAGCGGCCGAUGGCAGAUUAGGUAGUUGGUGGGAUAAAAGCUUACCAAGCCGACGAUCUGUAGCUGGUCUGAGAGGACGACCAGCCACACUGGGACUGAGACACGGCCCAGACUCCUACGGGAGGCAGCAGUGGGGAAUUUUGGACAAUGGGCGAAAGCCUGAUCCAGCCAUGCCGCGUGCAGGAUGAAGGCCUUCGGGUUGUAAACUGCUUUUGUACGGAACGAAAAGACUCUGGUUAAUACCUGGGGUCCAUGACGGUACCGUAAGAAUAAGCACCGGCUAACUACGUGCCAGCAGCCGCGGUAAUACGUAGGGUGCAAGCGUUAAUCGGAAUUACUGGGCGUAAAGCGUGCGCAGGCGGUUAUAUAAGACAGAUGUGAAAUCCCCGGGCUCAACCUGGGAACUGCAUUUGUGACUGUAUAGCUAGAGUACGGCAGAGGGGGAUGGAAUUCCGCGUGUAGCAGUGAAAUGCGUAGAUAUGCGGAGGAACACCGAUGGCGAAGGCAAUCCCCUGGGCCUGUACUGACGCUCAUGCACGAAAGCGUG